AACAGAAAGCACAACUACAACAGCAGAGGAGCAAGAUCACAGGCUGCAACAAGUGAGGAUUUGCUCAAACACAGCAGACACAGAAAUAAAGAAAAGUAGCUACUUACUUUGAGAAGGCCUCAGGUAUACAGGAAUCUCCAACAAGAUAUCCUCACCUUCACCACCAACCCUUAAAUGAGGUCUGGGAUCCUAACUCCAGCCCUUCCAGUCACUCAAGUUCAUUGCAUGCACCUCAGCUCCUCUGUAUUGUCCCUGCCUUUCCAUCAGAUGCUCAGUCGCUGGUUCAAACUGAGCUAAUUUAUUUGAUCACUUAGACAUCCUUGGUGUCAAGCAAGAUCUACUGCUCCUGUCUGUUCAACCUUAUCUUUCUCAUUUCUCUGUUCCUUUAGGUCCACUGAAUUUAGCCCAUGAGGGUUGAAGCAGGGCCUGCUGCUGAGAAAAACCCACCACCACCUGAAGAAAGGGCAAUUAAAGCUAUCACUUGGUGUGGGAAAACAAGAAGGACUGUACAGAGCAGCAGCUGUGGAGCAAGAUAAACAGCAUAAGAACCAAGGACACCUCUAGAAGAAGGAACAGCUUGCGGCUCUGAUUGGAUAAGCGCCCGCAUGAACGGUUGAAGAAGUGUUUGUGGAAUGUUCUGUUGACAUAUAGGAGUGAUUCUGAAAGCUAGGAAGAGAAAACUUGUGAAGAUAUAUAAGUGAUAUAGAUGAAGACAAGGAGAGCUGUGCCACUGUACAGUGUCCAAGAGGUACUUCACAGAAAAAUUGAGAGGAUGAUCUUAAGAAAAGUCUGUCCUAUUCUGGGAAACUCAGAGAAGACAACUCAGUUUUAAAGAGAAAGAAGAAAAAGAUAAUUGCAAAGCUUCCGUGGAGUCCAAGAGUGGGAAAACGUGUUCAGCAGGAGCAGUACAAGCACUGCAUGAGUGUGUCUCAAGAGCACAGGGAGAAAAGAAAGCAAAACUCAACACAUCAUCUCUUCUAUCAAGAUCCAACGCACCAUCCCACUAGUACUGGCACUAAAUGUAAAAUCUAUUUUUCCUCCAAAA